rnacentral:rRNA from 1 species
CCUUGACAUGCAGAGAACUUUCAGAGAUGAUUGGUGCCUUCGGGAACUCUGACACAGGUGCUGCAUGGCUGUCGUCAGCUCGUGUCGUGAGAUGUUGGGUUAAGUCCGUAACGAGCGCAACCCUUGUCCUUAGUUACCAGCACGUUAUGGUGGGCACUCUAAGGAGACUGCCGGUGACAAACCGGAGGAAAGGUGGGGGAUGACGUCAAGUCAUCAUGGCCCUUACGGCCUGGGCUACACACGUGCUACAAUGGUCGGUACAAAGGGUUGCCAAGCCGCGAGGUGGAGCUAAUCCCAUAAAACCGAUCGUAGUCCGGAUCGCAGUCUGCAACUCGACUGCGUGAAGUCGGAAUCGCUAGUAAUCGUGAAUCAGAAUGUCACGGUGAAUACGUUCCCGGGCCUU